AAAAGAGUGGGGGGGCAAUCUGGCCCUGCACUCUGGGGACAAGCCCUUGGAAACGGGGUCUAAUACCGGAUACUGACCCGCUUGGGCAUCCAAGCGGUUCGAAAGCUCCGGCGGUGCAGGAUGAGCCCGCGGCCUAUCAGCUUGUUGGUGAGGUAAUGGCUCACCAAGGCGACGACGGGUAGCCGGCCUGAGAGGGCGACCGGCCACACUGGGACUGAGACACGGCCCAGACUCCUACGGGAGGCAGCAGUGGGGAAUAUUGCACAAUGGGCGAAAGCCUGAUGCAGCGACGCCGCGUGAGGGAUGACGGCCUUCGGGUUGUAAACCUCUUUCAGCAGGGAAGAAGCGAAAGUGACGGUACCUGCAGAAGAAGCGCCGGCUAACUACGUGCCAGCAGCCGCGGUAAUACGUAGGGCGCGAGCGUUGUCCGGAAUUAUUGGGCGUAAAGAGCUCGUAGGCGGCUUGUCACGUCGGUUGUGAAAGCCCGGGGCUUAACCCCGGGUCUGCAGUCGAUACGGGCAGGCUAGAGUUCGGUAGGGGAGAUCGGAAUUCCUGGUGUAGCGGUGAAAUGCGCAGAUAUCAGGAGGAACACCGGUGGCGAAGGCGGAUCUCUGGGCCGAUACUGACGCUGAGGAGCGAAAGCGUGGGGAGCGAACAGGAUUAGAUACCCUGGUAGUCCACGCCGUAAACGGUGGGCACUAGGUGUGGGCGACAUUCCACGUCGUCCGUGCCGCAGCUAACGCAUUUAAGUGCCCCGCCUGGGGAGUACGGCCGCAAGGCUAAAACUCAAAGGGAAUUGACGGGGGCCCGCACAAGCGGCGGAGCAUGUGGCUUAAUUCGACGCAACGCGAAGAACCUUACCAAGGCUUGACAUACACCGGAAAGCAUCAGAGAUGGUGCCCCCCUUGUGUCGGUGUACAGGGUGGUGCAUGGCUGUCGUCAGCUCGUGUCGGUGGAGAUGUUGGGGUAAGUCCCGCAAACGAGCGCAACCCUUUGUCCC
rnacentral:rRNA from 1 species